CUCUCUCCCUUCUCCUCCCCGUCGCCCUCUCUCUCCCUCUCUCCUCCCCGCCGCCGCCGCUCCCUGCUCUCCGCCGCCGUCCUGCCCGCUCCCGCGGGAUCCAGAUCUGGCGCAGGGGGCAGCGGCGCCCCCUUCCUCCGCCCGGCUCUGCCCCGGAGCUCCUCCGCGCCGACCCUCCUCCGCCCGACCACACCCCGGAGCUCCUCAGCCAGGCCCCAGGCGUCGCCGCCCAGGAUCUCCGGGCCGAGGCUUCGCCGCUCUCCGGCGCCGCCCCGAGCUGUGACGCCGCGCCCGAGCCUGCCCGAGCCCUCCGCGUGCGCCUCCAGGGCCGGUAUCGGAGAUGGCAGACAGGGCGUCGGCGUCGGGCGGCCUCGCCCGGCCUGGGCCGAGGAGGUCGGGAUCGGCAUGAGUUCGUCAAGGCCUGCUCCGCCCACCUCAAGCGCUCCGGCAAGAUGUAUUGCUGACGAAUCUUUUUAGCGAUAAUGCCAUCUAUUCUUGGAUCACUGAUGGCAUCUCCAAGAAAGUGGUUGCUAUAUAUAUGAAUGCAGUUCUACUCAAAACAGAGAAGCUCUCCGAAGCUCUCUCAUGGUAUUAGCAUAAUUACUUGCAAUUUUUCUGAUAAGGAUUAAGCUACGCUUUCCCUCCAGUAAUUCCUUCACUUGAUGAUAGGAUUCCUUGAUUAGUAUUGUCAUCAGAAAAAUGGUUUUUUCUCCUCCUGUUUUUGAUCAGCAUGUUGUUCUGGAGUUUGUGCUCCCUUGUGUGAAGGUGCUUCCUGCGCUCGAGCUACUACUGGAUGGGUAGCGGCAGCUGCAGGCAGCAGCACUCAGAUGCAGGCAGGAGGUCGCCAAACAGGCAAGAUGGAAAUGAGUGUUAUCAAGGACAUGGUGAUUGGCAAACUGGCACCUCUUGUCAGUACUUCCCGGCUGAGCUAUUGCAGUAUUCUGAACUUAAUGAACCGUGUUGAAGGCCAAUUUACUUCAGAGCAUGUGACUAGGAAUUCAUUCCAUCAGUUUCAGUAUGAGAAGGUUUGUUUCAGGACCUUUUAUAGAUGCUUUGUACUGUCAUAUAAUAGGUAAUGUUGGAGGGUGAAGCUACCUUGCUUGAUUACUCUGGAGAGACUGAUCUUGCUAAAUAUCACAAAUUGGGGCUUGAUAUAUCUGAACUUGAGAAGAAAAUAAUGUCUGGGAUGAUUAGACCAGAGGGGGCUUUAUUAUAUUUGGUUCCUGGAAGUAAGAGUCAUUGAUGUGUGCAUUGGUCGACUCAUGCUUGGCGUUAGGCAGUAAAGAUAUCUGUUGCCCAUGUUGAUCGACUAGAUGUAUUUUGUGAACUUCGUGGCUGCAAACUGUGUACUACUUUCCAUAUAUAUUAGCAUCGUAGCAUACUUUCGUACAUCAUGUGUUCAUUUGGGUCGGUAUUCAGCUACCAGCUGUAAUGUUUGCUGGUUGCCUGGUUGUGAGCUUGUGUCAUGCAUUCGGUGCUACUGAUCCAUCAUCUGUAAUCUUAGAUGGAAUGAGCUUGUCAUCUUUCA